GUUCCCACCAGUUCUGGGGCCUGGCUCUUUUUAGUUAACAAGCCAGAGGGCAAAGGGCAGAACAAUACCUGGUGGCUUCCAGCCAUGUGCUUGUUGGAAGUCUCAGGUGCACACAGAUUGCUUGGAGCUGGACCUGCAUUGAGAAGUCAAACCCAAUCAAGACAAGAAGGGUUAGCGCUUCUACUAGGAGAGCAGAUCACGCACAAACAGAGGGGCCAAAAAACAAGUGAAGAAGAUCGAAGAAACGCCAACGUAAAAAGUCUUUGUCUGCUGGAGGUGGCAUUACCUGUGACCUUGCUUCACUUCUUCAUACAUGGCUGUUGUAGCAGCAUGGAUUCCUAAAGAUUGGUCCCCAGUACCACAAGACACUUUGAUUUCAAGAGGAAACACUGGAGAUUGAAGAAAAGCAGAAGUGAGAAGACUUGGUCACUUGGCAAUUGAGUUCUUCAGAAUCUACCAGAUGUGGGCAUGGAUCCCUGAGACUUGGUUCCGGAUAGCAGGAGACACUUCAAUAUCAAGAGGAAACACAAUGCUUUGCGAAGAACAGAAAUGGGAAGAAUUGGUCACGUGGAAAGUCAGUUUUUCAGAAGCUGCCUUUUGAGGGCAUGCAACCCAGAUGUUUGGUCAUCAGUGCCAGGAGACAAUGAGAUGCUGUGAUGAUGGAGAGGAAGCCCUGGAGGUGCAAUGUUGGGUGAAGAAGAACAAUACUGGGAGACUUGGUCCUCUGAAACGAUUUUGGAAGAGAGAAGCUGACUGAUGAAGAGUGAAAUGUAAAAGUCAAAGCACUCCAAACUCUGACAAAGGUGGUGUAUGAGGCUGCUGCUAAGGACUGUGAAAAGUGACGGACACCUACAAGGGUAUCUGAAGAGAAAUGAGCAUGUGGUAGCGGCAUGCAACCCGGAUGUUUGGUCAUCAAUGCCAGGAGACAAUGAGAUGAUGUGAUGAUGGAGAGGAAGCACUGGAGGUGCAAUGUUGGGGGAAGAAGAACAACACUGGGAGACUUGGUCCUCUGAAACGGAUUUUGGAAGAGAGAAGCUGAGUGAUGAAGGCAUGGAACCCGGAUGUUUGGUCAUCAAUGCCAGGAGACAAUGAGAUGAUGUGAUGAUGGAGAGGAAGCACUGGAGGUACAAUGUUGGGGGAAGAAGAACAAUACUGGGAGACUUGGUCCUCUGAAACGGAUUUUGGAAGAGAGAAGCUGAGUGAUGAAGGCAUGCAACCCGGAUGUUUGGUCAUCAAUGCCAGGAGACAAUGAGAUGAUGUGAUGAUGGAGAGGAAGCACUGGAGGUGCAAUGUUGGGUGAAGAAGAACAAUACUGGGAGACUUGGUCCUCUGAAACGGAUUUUGGAAGAGAGAAGCUGACUGAUGUAGGCAGGUGCAGGAGAAAACAUCCCCUAAAAGUCUUCAUUUGUCUUUGAGUGGGUGUCUCUGGUCCUGCCACAAUGGGAGAAACCCUGGAUCUGCUCCAUGACUUCCUUUGAUGGCAUCGUCCGGCACUUGCUAGACCAUUUCAAUCCUCUCACCACCCAGGUUCUACAUCAAGACAGUGCCAGCGUCAAGAUUUCUCUUGGAGUCUUUGGUGAAGGUCACGAGCCCCAGUCUGGAGUCCAAGCCUCAUACAGAUUUUCUUCAAAGAAUAACCAUUACCAUCUUGGUGGAAGACAGAGUUAAGAAUGUCUCAAGAGGGCCCUUCCCUGGGAGUCCCUGGAUCAUCGGAGCCCAGGAGAGGUCACACCCGAACAAGACGUUGAAGGACUGCAGAUUGCCACUACAACAGAGCCAUCUAUCUGCCUUCAUAGCCUAUCGUGACAAAAAAUCUGUGUUGAGCCUAAAAGAUCACAGAAGCGAUUAGUUGUGGUGUCAGGGGAUUUUUAGAAACCCACUGUAUACUUGGUUUCUAUCCUCUUGAGAAAAUAUGCUUCCUUGAACAUCAUCAUGGCCAAGGCAUUGAAGCCCAAGGAUUGGCCCCCAAUUGGACAAGACAAUUUGAUAUGAAAAGGAAAUAGUUGAGGUAGAAUGCUGCAUGAAGAUCAGAAAUGGGAAGCCUUGGUCAUGUGAGAAUUCAUUUCUUCAGAAGCUUCCUGAUGAAGGUAAGGCAUGCGUCCCUGAGGAUUGGCUCACAAUCCAACAAUUGAAUAUCAAGAUGAAACACUGAAGGGCAGGGGAUUUAGCUCAGUGGUUCUGGUGUCUCACAAGUGCAAGGCCCUGAGUUCAAUCCUCCACAAAAAGAAAAGAAAAGAAAAGAAAAAAAGAUGAAUCACUGGAGUGAGAAUGCUACAUGAAGAAGAGAAGAACUGAGAACCCCUGGGAGUUGAUUUCUGGAAAAGAGCAGCUGCCUAUUAUAGGAGGAAUUGCUAACAAUUCAACACAAAAGGCAAGACCAUGGAGGUGGACUUUCCAAGUUGAUGCAGUGUGAAAAGAGCAAGGACAGGCCACUUCCAGGUGGUGUACCAGUACCAACACACAUAUUUGCUCUAGAUCUCAGAUGCGCCCUAUUAUCUGGAGUACAUCAGCUCUACAUAAAAAAUGGAGGACCAAGAACAGUUAAAAGAUGCCCAUUUUUGAAUCGGGUCUUCAUAUUUGGCAGAGCUCUGUACCUGACAGUAAUCUUCUGACACAAGAUCAAGCCGAGGGCAGCACCUGAUACUCAUCUUUUAGACCAAGAUCGAGCGCAGUUUCGAUGGGACAGCGUGGAAUGAAUGUCAGUAAGAAGAUAUAAAGGAUAGCAGACACUGACCUCAUCACCCCUGCCAACUUGUUCUUGUGGUGGCCCACCAUGUACACAGGACAUAUCUUGUUUUUCAUUCAGAUCACCUUUUCUCCUUGAGCACUUCUUUUCUGCCCUAAACUUUUGCAUUCAUCAAUUGUUCCCACCAAUUUAUUGUACUGGACAGUAAGAGCCAGGAAAUCACUGUUGCUUAUUACAACACUGAGAAUGCUCCUAACUUCAAUUAUAAUAAUGGUCAGGAAUUAAAGAUAUCUAGGUUUUAUCAAUUUCCUCCCUCCCCUUCCUGUCUUUCAGUUCCCUUUCUGUAUACUAAAGAUCCAUGCCACUAUUUUCUGCUGUCUAUUCUUUAUUUUUGCACUUUAUUUAUAUGUUGAAAUUCUCAUAUGAGAGACAGUGGCCAUGUGUCCAUUGAGCCAUUUAAACUAGCGCUCAGAACCUAGAAUCUAGCCCUCAGUUUAGUGGCAUUGAGAACUUUGUAGUGACUAGUGCCAGAUAACACGACAUACAAAGCCUGAAGUAGACAAGAGAAAGUUAGUUCAUAGAAGAAAAACAACAGUACUUAGUAGCUACAAUAUUUACAUUGGCAUCUGAAUUAUAUAAGCAGACAUAUAUAAGAAGCCAAAUCAUUACCAGAGGGAUAGUUUGGAUGUAUGUGGGGGCCCUGCCAUGGCCCUCUUGGCCUUUGACAUUGGAAAGGAAACUUCUUCCUCUACACUCAAGGCAUUGAUACUAUCUACGUAAAAUUU